GUAAUUUCCUCAUGAAAUUUUAAGACGGCAGACGAAGGGUCAUGCCUUCUUCCCUGUUCUUUCAUCCUCUUCUCCCAAUUUUGCCCCCAAUUCAAUGUAUUACCCCCAAAGAAGUCUACACCUGAACAACAAAGAUGACGCAAAUCGUCACUGCCAUUUCUAAUACAAUCAAUUAGGUCUCAUCAUUGAUUUACAUUCACUUCAUCUUCCUCAUCUCUCUAUUCAAUACCCAUUAUGUUAUGCAGGCCUUAAUUCCUGAUUGAAUGAAAAUAUUGAAGGGUCGUGCGUUUUCAGAUUUAGAAUAUAAUUGUCAGGCAGUGGUGGUUCAGAUGGAACCUCAAUCACGCGCCGAUUAGGGAUUCACUAGUCGAAAGUUGUGCCAGAUCAGUAUGACGAAAGUUCAAUUACUAUGUGUACGCUUCAGAUGCAUCGGCGGUGUACGGUUUAUCGGCGCUUGGAUUGUUGUUGAUUAGUCAGACGGUUGAGAAGUGUGGCGGUUUUCUUCUUUGUUUUCUCCUGGAUGGCCGUAUAGAUUAUAAUGAAUUUGUAGCAAUGGUGCACAAUGGAAGCGCGACAUUGACAAAGAAGCAAUUGAAGGAUGAUUUUAGUGUCGGGUUAAGGGAGUCGGUGCCAGUUUCUUGAUAUUAUUUGUUUUCAUUGUUUCAUAUAAAUGGCACAUCAUAACAAGUGGAUGUACAGAGUUCACAUUCAUACACAGGGCGCACACAUAAACACUUAUUCACGAGUUUUAUAGAAUGUUUCAUAACAUUUGUCACUAUUAGCCAUGGGUAUCGGUUACCAAUUAUUGGAUGGGGUGGGAGUGGAUUGGGGUAUGUUUGAUAUGUUGUGGGCUUUGGCUCUUUUGGACCUUUUGGUUUGGGCUGGAGAUAUAAGGGGGUGGCAGGUAAUUGACCCGUAUAGAAUUUCCGCUUUUUUUGGUGGUUCGUUCUUCUCAUCUUCUUAUUUGGUAGCUACAUUUUCGGUCCUUCAACCCUUUUUAAUUCUUUUUAGCAGGUUCAAAAUGACACACUACCACAUUUUAGUCUUUAGAAGUUGUGAUCUUUUAUUUCUUGUUUUUGAGUUCUUAUGUGUAUUGUUAAUAUUUUAACUUGAAAUUUUAAAUCCGUGGUACUGUUUCAUUUGGUUCCGGUUGCUGGUGAAGAGCCAAAUCCAUGCUGGUGGAAGGGGCCUAGGGAAGUUAACUGUUGAUGUAAUCACUUGCUGGUUUGAUGUCAGAAAUGAUGAAGAAAUGCAGCAAGGAGAAGAAGAGGCUUUAUUCUGCAUUUUGUGCAAUGUAAAGGUCCUGGCUUGUCGGUGUCUGGUGAAAGAGGGUGAUCGAGAGGCUCCGAGCUUCCUGUUCAUGUUAGUUAAGCUUGGUUUCUGGACCUCACAAUUUGUAAGAUUAGUGUUUUGGUUCUCUUCAUUCUUUUAACGGAUGGUCAUUAGUGUUUUAUCUUAGGUUGUUUACUUCUCCGGAAUGUUCCAAGUUUCCCAGGUGGAAUAUGAAGUUCUAAGGUUGCUUGGUCUGGAACAUAGUCAGAUCACUGUUUUGAUGGACUGUGGACUCUCAUUUUUUGGAAUCCUUGUAAAAACGUUGAGAUCAUGUGUUGCAUUUCUUCAAGAUUAUUACCCAACCCGGCUUGGGUGUUUACUUGUUGUAUGGCUCCCCUCUAUUGCCCGAGUCAUAACUCAAACUCAAUUCCAAGUAAGCAUGUUUGAUUUUGUACUUUUUUCA